CAAAAUUGUGUAAAAGUUGACGUUAUGCUUAUCAAUUGGCAUCACAAUAAUUAUUGUCAUUCUAUAAAUCUCGAAAGUAUUCCAUCUCAUGGGAAAUCUAUGUUUAUUUUUACUAUAUUAUUUUAAAAUUAGUGAUAUAGAAUGACCAAAUUAGCUUCGAUCCGCGCUGAAGGCCACUGUUUUACAAUAAUGAUCUUGCUUAAUUACUUUUUUCCAUCUACGUGUCUGUCGGUAAAAUAUCUUAAGAAGUAAGCAUGACGGAGCGUUCAAAUUUUAGGCGAUUGCUCCUUUUCGUCCUAGCUACGCCAUCAUUAAUUUCGAAGACUCCACGCCAUCCCGUUACCGGAUGACGACCUUUGGAAAUCUUAAAAUUCUAUAUACGGGAAUAUAUUCGUAGCGUGUGAAAGAAAUUAUUGAAAUUAAUUUUUGAAAAAUAGCUGACGCGGUUAAUGCUUUUCUUCGGCUGUUGGCGCAUUUAUUUCCCUAAGAAGUCCAUUUUUCUCGGCUACCAAAUUGGGAAUGGGGAAAUUCAGUUGUAAUUUCUUAGUCAAAAGUGAUUGCCAGUUAUCAUAAUUGACCAAGUAAAUGUUUUCUGUUCAUUCUGUUAGUUUCUAGCUACCAUUCUGUCUCGGGUAGCUGUUUAAAAGCUAGAAUAUCCGUUUCAAGCGGAAUUUUACUAUUUAUAACUUAGCCCGCUCGAAAUUACGUAAUCGUUUUUUGUAUUUCCCAGUUAGACUUAACUAAAUAUUCGAAAUGGCUCCUUUGGCCAUCGUAUUGUUACGCUGGAGUCCGCCAAGUUCGAUUCAUUUUGGUACAUGUAAGAACCGAAUGACGUACUCGACUAGGUAUUAGUCCAGUUUCGUCAUCUUCCGGAUAGGCGUGGCCAUAAUGUUGUCAUUUCUUCUGACCGUUGACCGAUCCAACUGGAUUGGAUGGUAAGCGUCACGUGUUAACACGGUAGCCAUGUUUGAUUUAGUCAUCUUGCUAGACGGAGUUGGUAGAAUGGUUAUGUCGAACUUCGAUUUAUUCGGUUCUACAAAAACAUCGAGAAUUAAAUAAAUACAUGCCGAAUAUCGUUUUAUCAAUACUCUGGGGUUAACUUAUUUUCGGAAUUUAUUGUUAUUUUCCAGACACGAUUAAUUUUAUGGCAUUUAAUCGAAGUUAUCUAUGAUAAUCCCGGUAGGUUAGAAAUUCUUACCUAGCGAAACAGCGGUUCCAGAAGAUUUUAGAGUUCAUCCAGGAAAGAUGUAUUUAUAUUUAGGUUUUUUUAAUGAAUAGAGAGAAUUUCCCUUAUUUUUUCCAUUGUGGAGAAUUUGGUAGAAAAAUUGACUUAGGAAACACGAAAAAUAGUGGAUAAUCAAACCACGGUUUAUCUUCGAGCAUCCUUUAUGAAUAAGUAUAUAUUAGCCUAUGCCAAGCGUUAGUUGAUUUUCGUAUCUUAUUGUAAUUAAUAGAAUAAAAUUUCUACUAAAACGCGUUAAUUGGAUAUCCAAGCGGUGCUAGACUUCACCUGGAUGAUUCGAGUUCGAUUCCGGAUGACACGCUUCAGAAUAGAGUCCGGCGCAUCGAAUUCCAUUCUUCGUUUUUACAGUUUGACUCCCUUCUUUUUUUCUCGGUUUUACGUUACUUUCCAACUGACGUUACUAGGUGGCGGGCACGAGAAGACGCGCCAUAAGUCAUCCGUGUCCGUGAGAGAUCGAGCGAAGAUCGAACCCUGCUGAAAAAUCAGAAGAGACAGGACCGAAAUCGAAUCCUGCUUCAGUUAGCAAAAUCAAGUUCUUCGAGGCAGUGAUCCGCCGAAUAAUAUUUAUAGCAACUGUGACAUUUAUCGGAUAUUUGAAAUUUCUUAAAAAUUGACAUAUAGGUAACCACGAUACACGCUGUACUAUGGAUUAAUGAAAUUCUUACUUUCGAAAAAAAUAGUCGGAUAGUGUAUUCGGAUUUGAGUACACCUUUAAAAAAAAGGCAUUAGAGAUGUGUGUGUGACCAAUCCCUCGAAAUAAGAGCGGCGACAAAAAAGAUGCCCGAAGGCAAAUAAAAGAUUGCGAAAACCAACGAGUAACAUUUUAUAUAUAAGGG
rnacentral:lncRNA from 1 species